CUUAUUUUGUCCCUUUCACUCUAUAGACGGCUGGACAUCCUUGUACCUUGGCGCUAGCUGGAUGACGGGACCUCAUCAUGAUCAGUGUAUUGCUUUCCUAUGUCUACAAGCACCGUCACGCGUGGCCUGUGACAGCAAGCUUUUGUGGGCAGCCAGUGCUCUCUUAUGAAGGCUGGCCUACUCUGGCAGCGGUGGCAAUCAUCAUCAAGAUUUAUCCAUGAUCACCUUUGCUGCUAUUUGUCACUCUUGUUAAUUACACUUUCUGCAUCUUUUCUAAUUUAUUAGGUAAUAAAGUAUGAGUAUGUGA
rnacentral:lncRNA from 1 species